rnacentral:lncRNA from 1 species
UUGACUUUGAAAGGAAAAGGGAACUGAGAGAGCCCCCAGAUGCCUGAGUAGGAGAGACAGGGGACGGAGGUUGCCAAGCACUGGCUGCCACUUGUCAGGUUCCUUGUGUUAGACAUGUAUAAUCUGUAUUCCAUCACUGGGUACCCGGACCCACCAGGUAAGGCCCUGGCCAGGCUGGGGCUGGGGCCCAGGUGUGAUCAGGACCCAGGGUACAGAAUCCCCACCAUGGGGCAGCUGAGGCAGAGACCAGGGCUUGAGGGAUGUAGGGAGGAGGGAAUGGCUGGGCGCUGACUUGCCUUUCCCCGGAAGGGACCAUGGAGGAGGAGGAGGAGGAGGAAGAGGAGCAGGAGGAGGACUAUGAGAACAUGGCACCUCCCUACAAGGACCUUCCUCCCAAGCCAGAUGCCCAAUCAUCCCUUUGGAGAGGCUCACAUGGCAAGGAACUGAGGCCUCCCACCAACAGCCAUGUGAGUGUAUCAUCUUGGAAGCAGAUCCUCUAGCCCCAGUCAAGCCUGCAGAUAGAUGACUUGCAGUCCCAGGCAACAUCUUGACUACAAUCACACAAGAGAUCUCAAGCUAGAACUACCCAGCUAAGCUGCUUUCAGAUUCCUGAACCACAGAAACUGUGAGAUAAUAAAUGCUUAUGGUUGUUUAAAGUCA